UACGAAGGGUGCAAACGUUGCUCGGAAUCAUUGGGCGUAAAGCGCACGUAGGCGGCUUCGCAAGUCGGAUGUGAAAUCCCUCGGCUCAACCAAGGGAAGUGCAUCCGAAACUGCGGGGCUUGAGUACGGAAGAGGCAAGUGGAAUUCCCGGUGUAGCGGUGAAAUGCGCAGAUAUCGGGAGGAACACCAAUGGCGAAGGCAGCUUGCUGGGACGGUACUGACGCUGAGGCGCGAAAGCGUUGGGAGCAAACAGG
rnacentral:rRNA from 1 species